rnacentral:rRNA from 1 species
UACAGAGGGUGCGAGCGUUGUUCGGAAUUACUGGGCGUGAAAGGGCGCGUAGGCGGCCUGCUAAGUCGAACGUGAAAUCCCCUGGGCUCAACCCAGGAACUGCGUCCGAUACUGGUUGGCUUGAAUCCGGGAGAGGGAUGUGGAAUUCCAGGUGUAGCGGUGAAAUGCGUAGAUAUCUGGAGGAACACCGGUGGCGAAGGCGACAUCCUGGACCGGUAUUGACGCUGAGGCGCGAAAGCCAGG